rnacentral:rRNA from 1 species
AUGAACGCUGGCGGCGUGCCUAAUACAUGCAAGUCGAGCGAACAGAUGAGGAGCUUGCUCCUCUGACGUUAGCGGCGGACGGGUGAGUAACACGUGGAUAACCUACCUAUAAGACUGGGAUAACUUCGGGAAACCGGAGCUAAUACCGGAUAAUAUAUUGAACCGCAUGGUUCAAUAGUGAAAGACGGUUUUGCUGUCACUUAUAGAUGGAUCCGCGCCGCAUUAGCUAGUUGGUAAGGUAACGGCUUACCAAGGCAACGAUGCGUAGCCGACCUGAGAGGGUGAUCGGCCACACUGGAACUGAGACACGGUCCAGACUCCUACGGGGGGCAGCAGUAGGGAAUCUUCCGCAAUGGGCGAAAGCCUGACGGAGCAACGCCGCGUGAGUGAUGAAGGUCUUCGGAUCGUAAAACUCUGUUAUUAGGGAAGAACAAAUGUGUAAGUAACUAUGCACGUCUUGACGGUACCUAAUCAGAAAGCCACGGCUAACUACGUG